rnacentral:rRNA from 1 species
AUUGAACGCUGGCGGCAGGCCUAACACAUGCAAGUCGAGCGAGCGGCGGACGGGUGAGUAAUGUAGGGUGACUGCCCGAUAGAGGGGGAUAACUACUGGAAACGGUGGCUAAUACCGCAUACUAUCGGAUAACCCAUAUGGGAUUAGCUAGUGGGUAAGGUAAUGGCUUACCUAGGCGACGAUCCCUAGCCGGUCUGAGAGGGUGAUCAGCCACACUGGGACUGAGACACGGCCCAGACUCCUACGGAGGCAGAAGUGGGGAAUAUUGGGCAAUGGGCGCAAGCCUGAUACAGCAAUGCCGCGUGAAUGAAGAAGGCCCUAGGGUUGUAAAGUACUUUCAGUAGGGAAGCGUUACCGACAGAAGAAGCAACGGCUAACUCCGUGCCAGCAGCCGCGGUAAUUC